rnacentral:rRNA from 1 species
AACGAACGCUGGCGGCAUGCCUAACACAUGCAAGUCGAACGAGACCUUCGGGUCUAGUGGCGCACGGGUGCGUAACGCGUGGGAACCUGCCCUUAGGUUCGGAAUAACUCCCCGAAAGGGGUGCUAAUACCGGAUAAUGUCUUCGGACCAAAGAUUUAUCGCCUUUGGAUGGGCCCGCGUUGGAUUAGCUAGUUGGUAGGGUAAAAGCCUACCAAGGCGACGAUCCAUAGCUGGUCUGAGAGGAUGAUCAGCCACACUGGGACUGAGACACGGCCCAGACGGCGAAGAGAGGCAGCAGUGGGGAAAAGGCGAGAAUGGGAGAAAGGCGGAUGGAGACAAGGCGAGUGGGGGAAGAAGGUCUUCUGAUCGGAAAGAACAUUAACGGGGGAGGAAGGGCAGUAAGCGAACACCUUGCGGUCAGGACCUGACGAACAGAAGAAGAACCGGCAAAACUCGUG